UUUUGUUUCAUUGGAAACACUAAUGUUACGCUCUCUUCUGAGAGACGGAAAGCAGCGCUAUUCCGUAUUAACGGUAAAUUGGCAGAGCUUGGCACUAAGGAGAUUGGGCCCCAGGCACAAGGAAAAUUGUUCGGUGAACCGUUCCUCAAGGAACUUAAACACGUGAACGUGUUCACUUCACUUAAUAAGGCGCAGUCCUCUAUGCGCAGAGUCUUCCGAAGCACUACCACCAGAGGAGUUUUUGGAAGGGCUGGCCGGCAACGGGGCCGUGCCGCCAGCCGAUUCUGGCCUUCAGGCCCCCGCACUCAACCGACACCUUUCUACCCAACACGAGGGUACAGGCAACAACCUUUCUCACGAGGCUCGGACAGAGGCCGGGGACCACGCGGAUGCGGACGUUCCCGCUUUGCUACAGGUAAGCACCCGUAUUCCUCCAUUGUUACCUUGCACCCGCCACGCGGGCCGUAUUUCCCAUUCUUUCCAGAAUUGGGCCGCUCUGUCCUCAGACAAGUGGAUCCUACAAACGGUACAGGGAUAUGUCAUAGACCUAGUAGGGACUCCCUUUCAGACACAACCUCCUCACCCCAUCCACAUGUCAUCUUCCGACCAAUCCCUCGUCAACGCGGAACUACGCGAACUUUGGGACAAAGGGGCUAUCCAGCCGACCUACGACGGGGGAGGUUUUUUCAGCAAUAUUUUUCUGGUUCGGAAGAAGUCGGGAGAAUUCCGUCCGGUCAUCAACCUACGCGGCCUCAACGCGUAUGUGGCAUAUCGCCACUUCAAGAUGGAGGGCAUCCACCUUCUGCGGGACCUCCUACAAAGCAACGACUGGUUCACCAGACUAGAUCUAAAAGAUGCAUACCUGUCGGUCCCAGUGCAUCCGGAUUGCCGAACACUCCUACGUUUCCUCUGGCACGGCCGUCCUUGGCAAUUCACCUGCCUCCCUUUCGGGCUCAGCUCGGCCCCUUGGUGUUUCACCAAACUUCUGAAACCGGUGGUGGCCCACCUGAGAUCCAGGGGCGUCCGAUGAUUCAUCUACCUGGACGACCUGCUUCUCUUUUGCUCCAACGAGCACAGACUGCACCAACACACUCAUCUCGCAGUAACACUGCUGGAAUCUCUGGGCUUCGUGGUGAACCGCCAGAAAUCGGAAUUGACCCCAACCCAGACGAUACAAUUCCUGGGUUUCGAGAUCGACUCGACUACAUGCACUCUAAAGCUUCCAGCCUCGAAGAUCUCGUCUAUUCGCAAGGAGAUUCGCAGAGCAC